AUUGAACGCUAGCGGGAUGCUUUACACAUGCAAGUCGAACGAGUGGCGGACGGGUGGGUAAUAUAUCGGAACGUGCCCAGUCGCGGGGGAUAAGUACUCGAAAGAGUGGCUAAUACUGCAUAAUAUUCGAGCGGCCGAUAUCGGAUUAGCUAGUUGGGGGGGUAAAGGCUCACCAAGGCAACGCUCCGUAGCUGGUUUGAGAGGACGACCAGCCACACUGGGACUGAGACACGGCCCAGACUCCUACGGGAGGCAGCAGUGGGGAAUUUUGGACAAUGGGGGAAACCCUGAUCCAGCCAUCCCGCGUGUAUGAGAAGGCCUUCGGGUUGUAAAGUACUUUUGGCAGAGAAGCGGUAUCUGCAGAAUAAGCACCGGCUAACUACGUGCCAGCAGCCGCGGUAAUUC
rnacentral:rRNA from 1 species